GUUUAGCAUGGAAUAAUAAAGUAGGACUUUGGUUCUAUUUUGUUGGUUUUAGGUACCAAAGUAAUGGUUAAUAGGAACAGUUGGGGGCAUUCGUAUUUAACUGUCAGAGGUGAAAUUCUUAGACUGUGCAGGUAGGGGUGCGAGGACGGUGUGUGAGAGGUUUUCUUAUACACUG
rnacentral:rRNA from 1 species